GACGAACGCUGGCGGCGUGCUUAACACAUGCAAGUCGAACGGUGAAGCGCCUUCCUUUUUGGUGGGUGUGGAUGAGUGGCGAACGGGUGAGUAACACGUGAGUAACCUGCCCCCUUCUUCUGGAUAACCGCAUGAAAGUGUGGCUAAUACGGGAUAUUCUGGGUCUGUCGCAUGAUGGGUCUGGGAAAGAUAUUGUUUCGGUGGGGGAUGGGCUCGCGGCCUAUCAGCUUGUUGGUGGGGUGAUGGCCUACCAAGGCGGUGACGGGUAGCCGGCCUGAGAGGGUGGACGGCCACACUGGGACUGAGACACGGCCCAGACUCCUACGGGAGGCAGCAGUGGGGAAUAUUGCACAAUGGGCGCAAGCCUGAUGCGGCGACGCCGCGUGAGGGAUGGAGGCCUUCGGGUUGUGAACCUCUUUCGCCAGUGAAGCAGGCCUGCCUCGUUUGUGGGUGGGUUGACGGUAGCUGGAUAAGAAGCGCCGGCUAACUACGUG
rnacentral:rRNA from 1 species